UAGGGAAUCUUCCGCAAUGGGCGAAAGCUUGACGGAGCAACGCCGCGUGAGUGAUGAAGGUCUUCGGAUCGUAAAACUCUGUUAUUAGGGAAGAACAAAUGUGUAAGUAACUAUGCACGUCUUGACGGUACCUAAUCAGAAAGCCACGGCUAACUACGUGCCAGCAGCCGCGGUAAUACGUAGGUGGCAAGCGUUAUCCGGAAUUAUUGGGCGUAAAGCGCGCGUAGGCGGUUUUUUAAGUCUGAUGUGAAAGCCCACGGCUCAACCGUGGAGGGUCAUUGGAAACUGGAAAACUUGAGUGCAGAAGAGGAAGGUGGAAUUCCAUGUGUAGCGGUGAAAUGCGCAGAGAUAUGGAGGAACACCAGUGGCGAAGGCGACUUUCUGGUCUGUAACUGACGCUGAUGUGCGAAAGCGUGGGGAUCAAACAGG
rnacentral:rRNA from 1 species